rnacentral:rRNA from 1 species
AGCUCCAAUAGCGUAUAUUAAAGUUGUUGCGGUUAAAAGCUCGUAGUUGGAUUUCUGUUGAGGACGACCGGUCCGCACUAUGUGCGUGUAUCUGGUUCGGCCUUGGCAUCCUCCAGGGGAACAGUGCUGCGCUUGAUUGCGUGGUCUGGUAUUCUGGACUUUUACUUUGAGGAAAUUAGAGUGUUUACGGCAGGCAAUCGCCUUGAAUAUAUUAGCAUGGAAUAAUAAUAUAGGACCUUGGGUCUAUUGUUGGUUUCUAGAUCUAAGGUAAUGAUUAAUAGGGAUAAUUGGGGGCAUUCGUAUUAACACGUCAGAGGUGAAAUUCUUGGAUUGUGUUACGACGAACUACUGCGAAAGCAUUUGCCAAGGAUGUUUUCA